UUAAUGCAGUUCAGUAUGGUAGAGAGGGAGCAGCGUCUUAUGGUUAGUCUUCAUCUGGAAUUAAAACUAACCACAAGGGUGCUGCGCCCUCUCUACCAUACUGAACUGCAUUUUUC